AGGCGGACGGCCCCUCGCCCGCCUUGUGCUGAGAGCGGGACUAUGGCGCAUGCGCGGUGCGGCGAAAGGCUUUGUGGGAGCUGUAGUUCGCGGCUCUGUAGGCCCCGACCCAGCGCUGAGAGCAGCUUGUCAGACUCCGUGGACUGAUGACAUCAGGCUUUUGAGAGAGAACCUAGCCAGGCUGCAAGGACAACACCAUUGUGAUCUGACAGAGCAGACAGCCCUUGUGUUCAAGCUGCUUGCAGCCCCACAUGUCUGAAGGACCGUGCUGCAAAGCAAGUCAGCUACCUACAGGAGCACAGAGAGGAGCUUAGUGAGUUCAAUCAAAUCUCAGUGACAAGAGAACAACAUGCGGCUGGAGAGACAGCAGAGCUGAAGGGAGAGCAGCUCUUUUCCCGCUCACCAUGGAGUGGCAACAGCACCUGAUUAGUUUUGAAGUAGUCUUCUUCUUAGGGGGAUAGAGAACUGUUAAAUAAGCAAAUACUUCCUUUGUUUAUCUAGUCAUUUAGGAGGACUUGAGAAAUAAGGAAUUUUCCCUGUUAACAGAAUCAUAACUAGAUUUGUGUGUGAACUGGCAAAUAGGCCUUUCUCUUAAAUAAAGGAAAAGACUUGUACUGACCUAAUACCAUGUCUAAUCUUCAUGACAUAAAGAAGGAAUAGGUAGUUACUAGUGACAAUGAAUAAAAAAGACAGGGAAAUGGAGAAAUUCAGUGACAGUCGGCAUCAAUAGAUGUGCCAAAAGCUUGUGAAAGCUCCCUUUGUAUGAUAAAGUGACUGUCACAUGAAAUAUUAGCAACUAUCCAGAACUGGGAAAGUGUGAAAAUCGUGUUGCUGUAUAAAUUAUCUGAGACACUUAUGCCAAUUAUAGACUCACUGUGAGGAACAGAGACAUUGGUAAUCAUGACAGCGACUGUGUUUGAGUGUCAUGUGAAUAUUCUCAGGCAAUUAUUCAAAUCAAUCAUUUCUUGUCUGGGUAGGAAGGAUUCAUCAUUCUUAGUACCUCACAUCGCUCAGCGACUGAAUGGAUGAUGCUUUGCUAUUUCUGGUGCUCUGUAAUAUGCCUGCUGUAAAUAACAAUACUGGGAUAUGGCUAACUGCUGAGGUGGAGAACUGUGGUAAGAAAUGGGAAGAGGUGGGCUUGAAUCCCAUGCAAACAUGGUGUCAGAGCUGGGGGGGAAGUAGGAGGAAGUAUAAUUUAACAGUUCAUGUUAUGGUUAUCUUUGUCCAUUUAUCCAUUCCUCUUCCCACUUCCUAUAAGCUGCUCAUACAUACAAACUGAUUCCUUUCUAUACACACAGGGGGAUGAAUUAAGGCUGCAGCUGUGUCCUCACCAAACCUUAGGCACCUGAUUUUGCAAACUAAAUGAAAGACCAUUACUGUGGUACGUAAACAGUAUUUACAUGGCUAAAAGUGCCAAGGUGACAUGUCAGCUGGGCUUCAGUACCAUGGGGGUACCCACUACUUGCCAAAGUAACAACUUCAGCAAGUGGUGAAUUGAA